GAUCGGGACUGGUGGAAAGUGGUGAUGUGGGUCGUGCUCCACACACCGAGGACGGGACUUCCUCACAGUCUUUCCAAGUCUGCAUAACCUCCCUGAGAGUUAGAAUGACAGUCCCGACGCUACUCGUUCUCCUCUGCCUGUAAAUAAUGCAGUGGUGGGCUGGUGGUCUAAAGGCUGACUUCGAUCCCUCCUCACGGUAGUUUCUCUGCUCUGAAGUUGGUUUCCGUCAUAACGCGUCCGCUCCACCGGACCUUGUUGCUGCGCCGGGCCUUGACUCAGUCUGUACCUCAUGGCAGUGUCCAGGCUCCAUGAUACAAGGGAUGCAGUACAAACGCAAGUCUAAACAGUAUAGAGUUAACACCAUCCAGCACUCAGUGGCCCCAUCGCGCUGGUCAGUAGAGGACCCGAGGCCAUCAGAGGCAGCGGAACCUUUCUGGGUCGUAAGGUGAUAGCCCGGGGGACGU